AACCAGCACCUCAAGUGGUCAGGAUGAUUAUUGGGCCUAAAGCAUCCGUAGCCGGCUUUGUAAGUUUUCGGUUAAAUCCAUGCGCUCAACGUAUGGGCUGCCGGGAAUACUGCAAAGCUAGGGAGUGGGAGAGGUAGACGGUACUCGGUAGGAAGGGGUAAAAUCCUUUGAUCUAUUGAUGACCACCUGUGGCGAAGGCGGUCUACCAGAACACGUCCGACGGUGAGGGAUGAAAGCUGGGGGAGCAAACCGGAUUAGAUACCCGGGUAGUCCCAGCUGUAAACUAUGCAAACUCAGUGAUGCAUUGGCUUGAUGCCAAUGCAGUGCUGCAGGGAAGCCGUUAAGUUUGCCGCCUGGGAAGUACGUACGCAAGUAUGAAACUUAAAGGAAUUGGCGGGGGAGCACCACAAGGGGUGAAGCCCGCGGUUCAAUUGGAGUCAACGCCAGAAAUCUUACCCGGAGAGACAGCAGAAUGAAGGUCAAGCUGAAGACUUUACCAGACAAGCUGAGAGGUGGUGCAUGGCCGUCGCCAGCUCGUGCCGUGAGAUGUCCUGUUAAGUCAGGUAACGAGCGAGAUCCCUGCCUCUAGUUGCCACCACUACUCUCAGGAGUAGUGGGGCGAAUUAGCGGGACCGCCGUAGUUAAUACGGAGGAAGGAAGGGGCCACGGCAGGUCAGUAUGCCCCGAAACUCUGGGGCCACACGCGGGCUGCAAUGGUAACGACAAUGUGUUCCGAAUCCGAAAGGAGGAGGUAAUCCUCAAACGUUACCACAGUUAUGACUGAGGGCUGCAACUCGCCCUCACGAAUAUGGAAUCCCUAGUAACUGCGUGUCACUAUCGCGCGGUGAAUACGUCCCUGCUCCU
rnacentral:rRNA from 1 species